UCCAGCCUCUCCGGCCUGGGAGCAGGGGGCCUUCCUUUCCUAGGGGGCCCCAGGCUGCUGUGCCCCUUCCCCCGGAGCUGGCUGCUCCCCACCGCGGUCCCGUCUCCUCCUCCAGAGGGACUGGCUCCUGCCCAGACGCCCACUGCCUGCCAGGCCUGCUGCGAGCGCACAGGCCUGACCCCGCCCCCGCCCUCAAAGCUUCCUCUUGAUUCUGGGCCGCCUGCCUGGAAGACACCGAGGGCAGAGGGGCUCAGGGACGCCUCCUCGCUGGCCCCGCCCCUGAGGGCUGCAGGCUGUCUCCAGGGCUCUCCCUGGGGCUGCCAGGCCUGGAGUCAUAGGAUGGGGGGAGGCUGGCGGGGGUCCCAGCAGGAGGCCUGGCUGGGAGGGGGACCAGGGCCCCUCCUAGCGCUCCCUCCUGACACCCCUCACAGCGCUCGGCAGCCCACACCCAGGCGGGGAGAGGCCCUGGGGCCCAGAGGGGUUGGAGGGCUGCCUAGGAGGCCCUCACUGCCCGGGGAGGCCUCGGGCUAGGCCCUCGGCCCCUGCAGCUCCGCCCCAGGCUCUCUGCCGGCAGCGUCUACAUUCAGAAGGAAGGAGACCAAAAACGAGAGGGCAGACCUCCUGCCCCAAGCAUCCCCCUGGCCCCCCAUCAGCUGGUCUGAAAUCCUUCCGUUUGAGCAUCUUCAGGCAGAGCCACACAUCCCCUCAGGUGGAGGACCCCACCCGAGCCUGGAAAACAGCUCCUCCGGCGGAGCCCUGUGUUUGCCACUUGGCCUGAGUAGCAGUUUCCUCACCUUCCCUGUGAGCCACUGGAGGCCUGGCCCCUGUGUGCCUCUCUAAGCUGUGUCCCAGUGCCAGGGCAGUGAUCAGGGUUCCCCGCUGGACGAACAGAUGGAGGACCCCACCCAGCACCCAGCACCCAGCACCCAGCUGCAUUGGCCCACUCACGUUCACCCGCUCCUGUUCUGACACCCCCCCAAGAGGCAAGGAAGUGGAGGCUCGCGAGGGGAAGGCCUUGCCCAGGGCCCAGGCUACAUCUGAUGUCCCCGCGCCUGAGCGCUUUGCCUUCUUCCCUCCUUGCCACACAUGGAGGGCUCCUUCUUCCUUAAAAAGUACAAGGACUGCAUUUGUGACUGCGUUGGUAUAAAGACGAAUAUAAUAAUAAUAUAUAUGAAAACAUUUUCUUUACCCUAACGUGAAGAAAAAAAUUCUCUGAUUUUAAACAAAAUUGAAAUAUUUUAUGGGGCCCUGAAAGUACUGUGGCCUCAGGUACUAUGUUUACUCUGUCUCAAGAGAGUCAGCCUGGCAGGGUGCUUGCAUCCCAAGCUGACCUACUGGGCUUUGAACUCAGGUCUCCUGUAACACCCCCCACACCCCCCAACACCUCCACCACUCCCCGCUGCUGCCACUCUGGGGAAGGACCGGGUGUUGCUGAUUUCUGGCCUUUCUUAAUAGCCAUCCUAUGGCUCUGAACAUCUUGUUUCUGACUGCUUAUAACAACAAUAAUAAAGAA